UGUAUGAGCACCCAGGGGGCAGGAGCAGAAACAGGAAGACCGGGAUUACAGUCCGCUUUAUAACUCUUUUGAAGUCGCCGGACCCAGCUCGGGAAGCCUGCAGGCUGCGAGCGCGCUGAUCAAAGGUCCCUCUGCGGGCUCAAAUUAACACGGAACUGGCGAGCCGCGCUGCACCUGCCCGCGAAGAGCAGCGUGGCCGCAAAUCAGCUCAUCUUGUCCGGAGGUCGUUUGAUUCUGGCACAGUGCACACAGCGUGAAUCUGCAGAAUCCGCUGCAAAAUUACAGCCAGCUACCGCAGAGAAGCUGAACUCUAGUGUUGGGAAUUGAACCUUGGACCUCUGCAAGCACGGAAUCACUGAGCCCCAGCCCCACCAGCUCUUACUCUGACAUUUCACUACUAUCCUGGAUUUACAGAAGAUACUAGAAAAAUUCUACAAUUAAAAGUUAUUUUGAAGUAUUUAAAGGCUUUACAAAAAUUGUGAAGAAAAAAAUUGUAUUUUUCUGUGGCAUCUUGAUCUAUGAUAUAAAUUGUGAAAUGAUUGGAUUGGACUAAUAACAUAUCAAGAUUGUUCAUUAGAAAAU